rnacentral:tRNA from 1 species
UAGCUCAGUUGGUAGAGCAUGAGACUCUUAAUCUCAGGGUCGUGGGUUCAUGCCCCGU